CUUAGGACGAACGCUGGCGGCGUGCCUAAUACAUGCAAGUCGAACGGUCUUUCUAUGGAAGCUUGCUUCCACUGAGAAGAUAGUGGCGGACGGGUGAGUAACACGUGGGUAACCUGCCCAUAAGAGGGGGAUAACAUCCGGAAACGGGUGCUAAUACCGCAUAGUUCUCUUGAUCGCAUGAUCGAGAAAGGAAAGACGGCCUUUGUGCUGUCGCUUAUGGAUGGACCCGCGGCGUAUUAGUUAGUUGGUGAGGUAAUGGCUCACCAAGACGAUGAUACGUAGCCGACCUGAGAGGGUGAUCGGCCACAUUGGGACUGAGACACGGCCCAAACUCCUACGGGAGGCAGCAGUAGGGAAUCUUCCGCAAUGGACGAAAGUCUGACGGAGCAACGCCGCGUGAGUGAAGAAAGGUUUUCGGAUCGUAAAACUCUGUUGUCAGAGAAGAACAAGUUGGAGAGUAACUGCUCCAGCCUUGACGGUAUCUGACCAGAAAGCCACGGCUAACUACGUGCCAGCCGCCGC
rnacentral:rRNA from 1 species